rnacentral:rRNA from 1 species
UACGUAGGGUGCGAGCGUUGUCCGGAUUUAUUGGGCGUAAAGAGCUCGUAGGCGGUUUGUCGCGUCGGCCGUGAAAUCUCCACGCUUAACGUGGAGCGUGCGGUCGAUACGGGCAGACUUGAGUUCGGUAGGGGAGACUGGAAUUCCUGGUGUAGCGGUGAAAUGCGCAGAUAUCAGGAGGAACACCGGUGGCGAAGGCGGGUCUCUGGGCAACAACGUGACGCUGGAGGAGCGAAAGCCGUGGGGAGCGAACAGG